GCGCGCAUGGCUCAGUUGGUAGAGCGCUUCGUUCACAUCGAAGAGGUCUCUGGUUCAAAUCCAGAUGCGCGCA
rnacentral:tRNA from 1 species